AGUUUUAAGUGAAGAGUUUGAUCCUGGCUCAGAGUGAACGCUGGCGGUAGGCCUAACACAUGCAAGUCGAACGGCAGCACAGGAGAG
rnacentral:rRNA from 1 species